rnacentral:rRNA from 1 species
ACUCCUACGGGAGGCAGCAGUGGGGAAUAUUGCACAAUGGGGGAAACCCUGAUGCAGCCAUGCCGCGUGUGUGAAGAAGGCCUUCGGGUUGUAAAGCACUUUCAGUAGGGAGGAAGGUAGUGUAGUUAACACCUGCAUUAUUUGACGUUACCUACAGAAGAAGCACCGGCUAACUCCGUGCCAGCAGCCGCGGUAAUACGGAGGGUGCGAGCGUUAAUCGGAAUUACUGGGCGUAAAGCGCAUGCAGGCGGCCUGUUAAGUCAGAUGUGAAAGCCCGGGGCUUAACCUCGGAAUUGCAUUUGAAACUGGCAGGCUAGAGUCUGUAGAGGGGGUAGAAUUUCAGGUGU